AUGCAUGAUUUCGAUCAGAAAUUCACUGAGUGUAGAAUCACAGCAACAGAGACUGCACAACAGCUCAAAAAGACAUCUGGAGUGCCUUUUCUUGCCAAGGGGAGAGGCUUGGUUAAGAAAAUUGAUACCACUACUCCUCUUAAGGGGAUUCCAAAGCAAGCUCCAUUCCGGAGUCCCACUACUCCCAGCGUAUUCAGUCCAUCUACCAACAGAACACCAAUGGCAGGUCGGACACCUUUGCGCAAGGAGAGGGCUGUAAAGUUGCUGGACAUUUCUGAGCUGGAUAUGGUUGGUGCUGGUCGGGAAGCAAAGAGGAGAAGGAGACAUUAGGUUGAUGCAGAUGUUGCAGAAAAGCCUGCCAAAGAAGAAACUGUUCUGGACAGUGUCACACCAGAUUAUGCGGUUGGUCUGGUGUCUACUCAGAAACUCGGUGCUUUAAACAAUGAUAAUCCACUACCAUCUACCAGUUAUUUGCCUGCUACACCCAGCAUGGUACCAUCAUCGUCCUACAUUCCCAGCUCAGAAACUCCGCAAGCCAACACGGGUGGAUCAGUGAGGGAGGCUUUACAGACGAAUAGACUAUCGGAAGAGUCAACAGCACCUACCUCUGGUCUGCCUGGCCAGUUCAAACAAAGAACGCCCAUUUUUAACAGCAGCUCGACUGCAUCAACUACCUCAGCCACCACCACCACCCCAGCGUCUGCCUCUGUCACUACAACAGCACAGACGCCGCCUGCACAACAGCAGACGCAACAGCAGCAGCAGCAGCAAACCCCACAGCAGCAGCCGCAAGCGCAGCAACAACAACAACAGGCACAGCCACCGCCACAACAGACACAGCAGCAGCAACAACCUCGGAGGAAUCUUUCACUCACAAGAGACCAAAUGUAUGCGGCCCAAGAAAUGUUCAAAACUGCAAACAAGGUCACUCGACCAGAGAAGGCUCUUAUACUUGGAUUUAUGGCAGGAUCUAGAGAAAACCCAUGUCCAGAGCAGGGCGAUAUCAUUCAAAUCAAACUGAGUGAGCACACAGAGCUUUUACCAAAAGCAGACGGAACGGGCAGCACCACCAUGCUGGUGGACACAGUCUUCGAAAUGAACUAUGCCACAGGCCAGUGGACCAGACUGAAGAAGUACAAGCCGAUCACAAACGUAUCCUGAGAAUUCCCAACGCUGAGAAAUCGUGGACCAAAACCAGCAUGGUUCUCCUGGUUGCCACUGAACUGAGCUUAAAUGAUUGUAUUUUCAGACGUUCUGAAAUGUCACAGGAGACACCAAUUUUUACAGAUUGUGGGGUGUGAGCAGUGGUUCCUCCUAUUUCCUGCCUUGGUGAGGUCAUCUCGUCUUCUGUGAUGUGUCCGAAGUCUUUAAAUGAUGGUCCAGACUUCCAGCGACUCAGCAUGAAAACCCGAUCUGUCAAAAGCAUGUAGAACAUUUGUUAUGGUUAGCUGACAGGAAUUACUGUGUGGUCACAACUUCGGAGUGGGUUUUUGUCUUAUUCGAAAUAUGUGGGAUGAUCAUUUCAAGCAGCUUAGAUUUGGUUCACUUUCUUUUUUAAAACAAAAAAGAAAAGCGCUGGGUUUUAAACUGGAGAGCAUUAGAAAGCCAGAGCUCUUCCUGGUACCUGGAGCCUUUCCCUCGAGAUGUUAUCAGUUUCAUAAAGUAUUGUUGCAAAGGCAGCAAGACUUACAUUUUUCUAUUUUUUGUACAGUUGUAAAGAUUCUAGGUUUUUCUCUCUCUUUCUCUCGUAUAGUGUAAGAUGUAAAAUAACAAAUUAGAUUUUCUAUGGAGACUGUAAUUAAGUGCAGUUUAAAGAAUGCACAGCCAUAAAUAGUUUGGUUUUCUGUGUUUAGACAGCUGGUUGAACUGUCAGUGCUUAAGGGACAAUAGUGCUUUUUACUGGACAUACAGUACCAAGCACAAUAAAGUUACAUUGUAACUGGUGUCAUAGUUUAUCAAUCUACUGGUAUCUGAAUUUUAUAAUAAGCAACAAUUUUUAAAAUGCAUAAUCAGUAGUUUCAUUAAAAACGUCUUUUCUGCAAGUAUGGCCUGAUUGUUCACCAAUUUGUGACAUGUUUCGGUGAAGCAGUGACACUUUGUUCGACUACCUUAGCUAGGUUGCUGAAGUACUUUUGAAUCCAAUUGUAACUCUGUUGGAAGCUACACCUCUUGAGCUACUUGCCAGGUAUGAAAUCUCAACGAGAAGUCACUUCCUGAAAAUUCGCGUCAAUAUUUUCUGUAACAAUAAUGGUUUAAUUUGGUGCUUUUUUGUUCAGUUAGUAAAACUACACCCAGGUAAAUUUGUAACUUGUUGCAAACAUAGAUUUACUGAGAACAACUUGCAUUUAUAGUGCCCUUCACGUGGGAGCGUUUCAGAGUGUUUAACAAUGGUGUAGUUUGAUGCAGAGGGAGGUGAUUGUUGCACAAUUAAACAUAUUAACUUGCUUCAAUGCAAGUUCAUUUUAUAGGUUUAGAUUCGAUGUGACAUUUCAAGCUGAUUCUGUAAACAUUUGCUCUUAUGUGGUUUCUCCCCCCUCACACACAGUGCCAUAUAUACAUGGACAAAUUUCUAAAUGUGGCACACACUGCACUGAAUAUUUACUCAAAAGUGCCAGCUGUAAAAGGUACAAUUCUCAGGAAGUCACUUCCAUUCAAUCCUGCAGGUUGUGACGUUUCAGUUCUGAACAUAAUAAAAUGUAUGGCUAUUUUUAACA